rnacentral:rRNA from 1 species
CAGUAGCCGCGGUAAUACCGAGGGUGCGAGCGUUAAUCGGAUUUACUGGGCGUAAAGCGUGCGUAGGCGGCUUCUUAAGUCGGAUGUGAAAUCCCUGAGCUUAACUUAGGAAUUGCAUUCGAUACUGGGAAGCUAGAGUAUGGGAGAGGAUGGUAGAAUUCCAGGUGUAGCGGUGAAAUGCGUAGAGAUCUGGAGGAAUACCGAUGGCGAAGGCAGCCAUCUGGCCUAAUACUGACGCUGAGGUACGAAAGCAUGGGGAGCAAACAGGAUUAGAUACCCCAGUAGUCCCUGUCUCUUAUAU